rnacentral:tRNA from 1 species
UGGCUCCCUGGUCAAGCGGUCAAGACGCUAGCCUCUCACGCUGGAAUCAGGGGUUCGAUUCCCCUGGGAGUCAUC